GACGUAGGGUGCAAGCGUUGUCCGGAAUUAUUGGGCGUAAAGAGCGUGUAGGCGGCCCGAUUAGUCCGCUGUGAAAGUCCAGGGCUCAACCCUGAAAUGCCGGUGGAUACUGUCGGGCUAGAGUCCGGAAGGGGCGAGUGGAAUUCCUGGUGUAGCGGUGAAAUGCGCAGAUAUCAGGAGGAACACCAAUGGCGAAGGCAGCUCGCUGGGACGUGACUGACGCUGAGACGCGAAAGCGUGGGGAGCAAACAGG
rnacentral:rRNA from 1 species